GUUCUGGGGUCGCCCCCACGGCGGCGCGGCGGAGCUCAGCCUCGAUCUCGCGAAACCGAGCGAGACUACGGAAGGCCGAAGGAUUGGGCUCAGCAUUGCUUGGGCUAAAGGCUGACUAGGGCUUCCAGGAAGUGAUGUAUGUGAGAAGUUUGCUUUUUAAAGUGUACGUGGGAUCGUUAUUACGUCGAAAUAGCUCGAGCUGUAACCUAGGAGUCUUGCUCUGUUGCCCAGGCUUGAGUGCAGUGGCACGAUCUUGGCUCACUGCAACCUCCACCUCCCGAGUUCAAGCGAUUCUCCUGCCUCACCCUCCUGAGUAGCUGGGACUACAGGCCUGCGCCACCACACCUGGCUAACUUCUGAAUAUCAAGCUGAAAUUACUAUCAGAUAUCUUGCCACCACAUAGAGGCUUUGAGUGAAGUCUGCAUGGAGGAGAACAGAGCUGAGAGAUGGAAAGAUACUGAAUCCCAGUGACGUCCUUUGAGAUGUCGGAUCAAGCUGAGCUGGGCAUGAAGAUAGAGCUACUCCUAUACUUUUAAGAUACCAAUAACAAGCAAGAUUCAGAAGUCCAACAAGUAAGACAUUGAUUUCAUUAAGAGAGAACUAGUAAGCAAGCUAUUUGGGAAGUACACUCUCAUAAGAAUAUUGUUUCAUGAAGUCUUGAGCAACAAAGGAAAUAGUCCAUGAAGUGCACUGCUGUCAGACUCCCUCUAAGAAUACUUCAACUGCUCAUGAAGCGGGGGGCCUUAACUAUUUACUUCUUUUGGAAGCCUCCAUCUGGCCCAUCUAUCUUUAUUCUCCCAGGAUCACAGCCCUUUGCGUCAUGCCAAGGAAGCCUUGGAAUAUUUUGUUUCUGAGGCCAAGUUUCAUUGGCCUGUCAAGGGAUAAUCCUUCAUCUGGGAAAAGAAAUGGACAUGGAGCUACUGCACACAAGGUUUGGGGUGUUUUUCUCUUAAGAAAUAUAAACAUUAAACACGGGAAGUAACGAGAACAUGAAGCGUUCUUCAGAUUCUGCACAUCUUGCCCCACAUCAUAAGAUUUUCUGCUUGCUGCUGAAUCAUUUCUAUUGGAGGAAAGUGUAAUGCACAUUUCACUGCCCCAAAUAAAACCGGAAAAGUAGCAUUUGUAUAUUGUCACUAACAAUCACGUUCUGUGCGAAAGAGUGAGGAAGAUCAUCUCAGCUCCAGUGAAGCACUAACUGUGAACAAGCCCUUCUUUGUCCAUCUCUCCUGUAAUUAGAUGUGGGUCAGGGGUUGCCACUGUUGGGAAAUUUGAAACAAUAAAAGAAAAGGACUCUCACAAGAAAGGGCCAUGCAAACAGUGUGAGUGAUAUUUGAUUAUGUGUCAAUAUUGUUUUGAAUAGAAAACAAAAAUUAUUGAAAAACCA
rnacentral:lncRNA from 1 species